ensembl:rRNA 5S_rRNA 5S ribosomal RNA
GCCUGCACCAUCCCACCCUGAACAGGCCUGAUCUCUCCUGCUCUCAGAAGCUAAGCAGGGUCGGGCCUGGGGAGUAUUUGGAUGGGAGGACUAAAAGUGGCUACCUGCAGGAA